rnacentral:rRNA from 1 species
GUUGGCGGGGUAACGGCCCACCAAGGCAGCGAUCAGUAGCCGAUCUGAGAGGAUGGCCGGCCACAUUGGGACUGAGACACGGCCCAAACUCCUACGGGAGGCAGCAGUGGGGAAUAUUGCACAAUGGGGGAAACCCUGAUGCAGCAACGCCGCGUGAGUGAAGAAGUAUUUCGGUAUGUAAAGCUCUAUCAGCAGGGAAGAGAAUGACGGUACCUGACUAAGAAGCCCCGGCUAACUACGUGCCAGCAGCCGCGGUAAUACGUAGGGGGCAAGCGUUAUCCGGAUUUACUGGGUGUAAAGGGAGCGUAGACGGCUGGCCAAGUCUGAAGUGAAAGCCCGGGGCUUAACCCCGGAACGGCUUUGGAAACUGGCCGGCUGGAGUGCUGGAGAGGCAGGCGGAAUUCCUGGUGUAGCGGUGAAAUGCGUAGAUAUCAGGAGGAACACCGGUGGCGAAGGCGGCCUGCUGGACAGUAACUGACGUUGAGGCUCGAAAGCGUGGGGAGCAAACAGGAUUAGAUACCCUGGUAGUCCACGCGGUAAACGAUGAAUGCUAGGUGUCGGGGGGCAAAGCCCUUCG